GAGGGUAUAGCUCAGGGGUAGAGCAUGUGCUUUGCACGAGGUCCUGGGUUCAAUCCUCAGUACCUCCA
rnacentral:tRNA from 1 species